rnacentral:tRNA from 1 species
GGAGGGAUAGCUCAGUUGGUAGAGCACCUGACUAGGAGGCAGGAGGCCCCAGGUUCAAACCCUGGUUCCACCA